CUUCAAACAUGUAUAAGAUGACUCAUUUUUCCACUGUUAGAAAAUGGAAACUUCUUUAAUAUAACUAAUGAAAUUAUGCACAAAUUUAUCAAUAUUAUAAUGCAAUUUUCUUUAAUGUUAUAAGGUUAUUAAUAAUAAAUUUGAUAGACGGUUUGAAAUACUUUAGUUAUACCACUGACAUAGCAAACUUCAAAAGAAAAAUGAAUUCGUAUAUAGCCAGAGGAAUUUUAUCGGACAUGAAUCAAAGCGUUCAAAGAUUUUGCUCAUGCGUUUGCUUUGGACAAAGAUGUUCUAAAAUAUGUCCAUCAACUGUUACAUCCAUCCUGAUACCUUCUGUAUUUAUUCUCCAAAUGUCGGGAUUUUUUGCUGACCAAUGGGCAUGUGACUAUCAAAAUGACUAUGGUUUUGACAAUUCAACACAUGGUCCCUGCCUGGAUAUGGUAUCUAGUGUAACAUUGUGUGCAUUAGAAAUUGUAUGUAUAACAUUUACCUGCAUACUUUUAUUAAUCUGGUUGCUGGUUGGAUGUAAAACAUGCUGUCAAACAAUGGACAUAGACACUUGUAGAGUUUGCUGUGUUUGUAUUCUACCUUCCCUCAAUAUAAUCUCAGGGAUUUUAAACUUGUGUUGUUGCAUUAUUGCAAUGCAAUUCGUCCAUGAAAACAAAGACAGACAGUUAUCAUACGAAUUUUCGUUUUUUGCGUACGCAAUUUCCGGAAUUUUAACAUUUGUGAUUUCACUUGUGUCUUUGUGUGGAUAUGUUUGCAUAAAGGCGUUUAACUUGAGGAAUGUUUAUUAUCUUCAAGCUGGCAGUGAUGAUGCAGAAACAGAGACAGACAGACUUGUAAGGACAUAAAACUGCUGAAAGUUCAAGAUAAAAGAUAAUAAACUAUACAUCUGUUAUAGUCGGAAUGAAAGUUUGACCUGGUUGACUAAUUCAUUUGACGUUUCUUUGCAGUAUCUUUGAAUUUAGUUAUUUGCCCUUAAUUUUUUUUCAUUUAAUGACAGAGUGCCUGACCAUAGUUAAUAAUCAGUUUUCGAUAUCAUGCCGCGUUGAUAAUGUUUUAAUCAUACAGUACAGUCAUGUCUGUCUUAAUCUGAUGAUGUUGUUUAGUGUGUGUAUUUUUAUAAUGUUUUAGAAGGCCGCAUUUAAAAUAAAGAUAUGUUAUGUGUGUUUUACCAUGAUGUAUCUUCACCUGUUCAUCAAAAACGCGUUAUAGACAUUUGAUACUUCCGCAUUGUUCAAAUAUUUGAGUGUCAUUAUUUCUAUAUUAAUUGUUCUUAGUCUUGUGAACAGAACUCCAAGGUUUUGAAAUAAGUCGUUUGAUUUAAUUGAUAUUUCGUGGUAAUAAUUAUCAAUACCCUCUGUCUUUUUUAAUGUAAUAAUACUUUAAAUAUCAUCCGAGACAGGGGUGUAGUAUGGUUUGAAUUUAUGUGUAGCAAAUAUUUGUGGAAUCUGCAAAAAUAUUUUUCAAAGUGCGUUUUAGCGUUUAUUUAGUUGAAAUAAAUAUAUUCCGGGAGCUGUUAGACGUUGCAGUUAGACAAUUAAAUCAUUUGUCAUUUUCCUCGAAUAUGUAUUGGUUGCGGUCUGCACAGCCUAAAGGAAGGUACGACCCUGCAAGAUAUUGUGCUUGCUGUGUGUACUUUUACAUUAUCUAUUCAAAUAGACUCAAACCGUGUGCAAAACUCCCCCAGCACACAGCAAGCACAUUUUUUAUUUAAGUAAAUUGCGCCAGCAUAGAUUACCAACAGUACAUAGUGUAUAUUAAAUGCACACGUGAAGAUGUCUAUGAAAUAUUAAUCAUUGUUUAGAAUUUAUGUUAUAAAAGCCAACCUAUC